GAGCGGGCGUAGCAAUACGUCAGCGGCAGACGGGAUGAGUAACGCGUGGGAACGUACUUUUUGUUUCGGAACAACACAGGGAAACUUGUGCUAAUACCGGAUAAGCCCUUACGGGGAAAGAUUUAUCGCCGAAAGAUCGGCCCGCGUCUGAUUAGCUAGUUGGUGAGGUAACGGCUCACCAAGGCGACGAUCAGUAGCUGGUCUGAGAGGAUGAUCAGCCACAUUGGGACUGAGACACGGCCCGAACUCCUACGGGAGGCAGCAGUGGGGAAUAUUGGACAAUGGGCGCAAGCCUGAUCCAGCCAUGCCGCGUGAGUGAUGAAGGCCCUAGGGUUGUAAAGCUCUUUUGUGCGGGAAGAUAAUGACGGUACCGCAAGAAUAAGCCCCGGCUAACUUCGUACCAGCAGCCGCGGUAAUACGAAGGGGGCUAGCGUUGCUCGGAAUCACUGGGCGUAAAGGGUGCGUAGGCGGGUCUUUAAGUCAGGGGUGAAAUCCUGGAGCUCAACUCCAGAACUGCCUUUGAUACUGAGGAUCUUGAGUUCGGGAGAGGUGAGUGGAACUGCGAGUGUAGAGGUGAAAUUCGUAGAUAUUCGCAAGAACACCAGUGGCGAAGGCGGCUCACUGGCCCGAUACUGACGCUGAGGCACGAAAGCGUGGGGAGCAAACAGGAUUAGAUACCCUGAUAGUCCACGCCGUAAACGAUGAAUGCCAGCCGUUAGUGGGUUUACUCACUAGUGGCGCAGCUAACGCUUUAAGCAUUCCGCCUGGGGCGUACGGUCGCAAGAUUAAAACUCAAAGGAAUUGACGGGGGCCCGCACAAGCGGUGGAGCAUGUGGUUUAAUUCGACGCAACGCGCAGAACCUUACCAGCCCUUGACAUGUCUAGGACCGGUCGCAGAGACGCGACCUUCUCUUCGGAGCCUAGAGCACAGGUGCUGCAUGGCUGUCGUCAGCUCGUGUCGUGAGAUGCUGGGUUAAGUCCCGCAACGAGCGCAACCCUCGUCCUUAGUUGCUACCAUUUAU
rnacentral:rRNA from 1 species